UAAUACGAAGGGUGCAAGCGUUAUCCGGAUUCAUUGGGUUUAAAGGGUGCGUAGGUGGGGCGAUAAGUCAGUGGUGAAAUCCUGCGGCUUAACCGUAGAAUUGCCAUUGAUACUGUCGCUCUUGAGUACGCUUGACGUGGGCGGAAUGUGCCGUGUAGCGGUGAAAUGCUUAGAUAUGGCACAGAACACCGAUAGUGAAGACAGCUCACGAAGGCGAAACUGACACUGAGGCACGAAAGCGUGGGGAUCGAACAGGAUUAGAUACCCUGGUAGUCCACGCCGUAAACGAUGAUCACUCGUGAUUGGCGAUAUACGGUCAGUCACCUAGCGAAAGCGUUAAGUGAUCCACCUGGGGAGUACGAUCGCAAGAUUG
rnacentral:rRNA from 1 species